UAGUUCUGGUGGCGACCGGCGCACGGGUGCGUAACGCGUAUACAACCUACCCUUAACAGGGGGAUAAUCUGGAGAAAUUCGGUCUAAUACCCCAUAAUAUAAGAGACGGCAUCGUUUUUUAUGGAAAUUUUCGAAGGUUAAGGAUGGGUAUGCGUGACAUUAGUUAGUUGGUGAGGUAACGGCUCACCAAGACAACGAUGUCUAGGGGGACUGAGAGGUUUACCCCCCACACUGGUACUGAGACACGGACCAGACUCCUACGGGAGGCAGCAGUGAGGAAUAUUGGUCAAUGGACGGAAGUCUGAACCAGCCAUGCCGCGUGCAGGAUGACGGCUCUAUGAGUUGUAAACUGCUUUUGUACGAGGGUAACCGCAGUUACGUGUAACUGUCUGAAAGUAUCGUACGAAUAAGGAUCGGCUAACUCCGUGCCAGCAGCCGCGGUAAUACGGAGGAUCCGAGCGUUAUCCGGAUUUAUUGGGUUUAAAGGGUGCGUAGGUUGUUGUAUAAGUUAUAGGUGAAAGCUUGACGCUUAACGUCGAAAUAGCCUGUAAUACUGUAUAACUAGAGACCAGUUGCAGAAGGCGGAAUGUGUGGUGUAGCGGUGAAAUGCUUAGAUAUCACACAGAACACCGAUUGCGAAGGCAGC
rnacentral:rRNA from 1 species